CAGUCGCCGCGGUAAUACGUAGGUGGCAAGCGUUGUCCGGAAUUAUUGGGCGUAAAGGGCUCGCAGGCGGUUUCUUAAGUCUGAUGUGAAAGCCCCCGGCUCAACCGGGGAGGGUCAUUGGAAACUGGGAAACUUGAGUGCAGAAGAGGAGGGUGGAAUUCCACGUGUAGCGGUGAAAUGCGUAGAGAUGUGGAGGAACACCAGUGGCGAAGGCGACUCUCUGGUCUGUAACUGACGCUGAGGAGCGAAAGCGUGGGGAGCGAACAGGAUUAGAUACCCCCGUAGUCCCUGUCUCUUAUAC
rnacentral:rRNA from 1 species